AACCGCCGUAUACGGAACCGUACGUACGGUGGUGUGGGAGGGGGGAGGUGCGAGCCUCCCUCCUACCCGAU
rfam:Nitrospirillum amazonense Y2 contig00038, whole genome shotgun sequence.